GAGGGAGAGGAGGUAUCGAAUCCUCAUUUUGCAGAGCAGGGAACUGAGGCGUGGAGAAGUAAAGUGACACGGCCGAGGCCGCCCGGCACAACGGGGUUUAGAACCCAGGUCCUCUGGACUCCCAGGCCCGGAGCCCUUGCUGCUAGCUCAGGGAAAUUCGCCGGGAAGCCUACUGCUGCGUAUUCUCAACCGAUGCUAUUCCCGACUGUCCUUUCCUUCGCCGCUGUUCUGGCCGACGCUAACGUUACUGAUCUCAUCAGCUCGUCUUCGCUUGAGGAUCGACCCUCCCAGGUGCCGAGAUCUGGAAGUCUGCAUCGGAAAGCGUUGCCCUUCCCGUUGCAGGCUCGCGGGAGUACGGUACGGUGACUUCCCAAGGGGAGGAUCCCGUGAAGCUCGCUGUGGUUUAUUAGAGGUCUUCGGCACCGAAAGCUGUUGCCGGAAAGGAAGAAGGAGGGAGGGAGGAGAAUACGAGGAUGACUAGCGCCGGUCUAGGUCAUAAAGCACGUUUUAUAUACCUGCGUCAAGGGAACUUCCAGGAGGGAGAACCCAUUCUGUGGUUUCUUCCCGUUCCGGCGGCUGGAAUUAUUUAUAAUGGACUGAACACCGGCGUUGCAGAAAGUACAGGGAGUUUAUGUGUCUUCCCAAAUGACCCAGAAGACCCCUGACCCCAGAAAUCCUCUUCCAGAACCCACUGAUGCUUCCGUUAACGCGUUGAAAGCCGAAACAUUUCUGGUGACAUUUAAGCUCCGUGCCCUUUUUAAUAUUGACACGAGGUACGCGUAUUCCUGGUUAAUAAUAGACUAUUUGCCCCCAGGUGCCUUAA